CAUCAACGUCACUGUUCCCGCACCACCUACUUCUUCAAAGAACCCGUGACGGUUGUGCCGCUGUUCAGUACAACUACCUGCGAAUUUUAAAUCCUAAGCUCUUCUCCUUCAUCAACCUUUCCGUUGCAUUCUUCCAAGUCUUAGCAAUGGCAGCGCACCACAAGCUAGCUGUGAUUCUCGAGAAUCCUCAAAACGGCGCCGAAUUCCUCCUCGUGAAACAGACGCGACCGCCGAAGUUCGACGACGAAGAGUACGACUCGUACGUCGAUUCCGACCUCUGGGACUUGCCAUCCUCCCAAUUGAACCUUCUAGAAGGACAAUCGAAGCCCUCGAUUGCACUGGCAGGCGCAGAACCGUGGUCGGGGAAGAUCGAUUUGGCAAAAUUCGACUUCGAGUCGGCUCUCAACCAGGUUCUGGAACAAGUAGGGUCUAAGGCAGCUGACGGUGGAGAUUGGAGGUUGUCCAAGUACGUGGAGGAAGCUCGGUUCGGACCCGGGCCGCCCAUCAAUUCGGUGUUUAUUAGGGGAAAAUUGGUAGCUCCGGAGCAAAAUUUACAAGAAUCGUGUAAAUGGAUGUCUGUCCCGAGUUGUCUAAGCUGGCUUCUUGAAGUGAAACCAAGUAGUGAUCGUGUGGGGCCAUUGAUAGUUGCCGGUCUUCUAAAUGAAUCUGAGAAAUCGAGAGAGAUGAACAUUCCAUCCACCUUACCUUACCAGGAGUACCCUCCUGGUGUUGUGCUUGUACCUAUGGGAAGCAGGACAGGAAAACCUUUUUAUACAACAAAUCUGAUUGUUUUUGCACCCAAAAAUGCUUCAAAUGAAUCUGUAAAGGAUGAUUUUAUUGCUUGUGGAGAUGCAUUGAUAAUGGACCCUGGAUGCCGGUCUGAAUUCCAUGAAGAGCUCGCACAAAUUGUAACUUCAUUGCCAAGAAAGUUAGUUGUCUUUGUUACUCAUCAUCAUCACGAUCAUGUGGAUGGUCUUUCAGUUAUUCAGCGUUGCAAUCCUGAUGCUACUUUAUUAGCACACGAAAAUACCAUGCGACGCAUUGGAAAAGAUGACUGGUCUCUUGGCUUCACUGCAAUUUCUGGAACUGAAGAGAUUUGCAUUGGUGGACAGCGAUUGAUUGCCGUUUUUUCUCCGGGGCAUACAGAUGGGCAUAUGGCACUGCUCCAUGCUAGUACUCACUCAUUGAUUGUCGGCGAUCAUUGUGUGGGACAAGGUAGUGCUGUACUGGAUGUUUCUGGUGGGGGAAAUAUGACUGAUUAUUUUCAAUCAACUUACAAAUUCAUGGAGCUUUCCCCACAUGCCUUGGUCCCCAUGCAUGGGAGAGUUAACCUAUGGCCAAAGCACAUGCUUUGUGGAUAUCUCAAGAAUCGCAGAGCUAGAGAAAGUUCUGUCUUGAAAGCGAUAGAAAAUGGAGCAGAAACAUUGUUUGACAUAGUUUCCACUGUAUAUUCGGAGAUUGAUCGUAGCAUUUGGAUUCAUUGUGCAUCUAAUGUGAGGCUUCAUGUGGAUCAUCUUGCCCAGCAAGAUAAGUUACCAAAGGUUGAUGAUUUGGUGAACGCCAGACACAUUGUUCUUGAAGCAUAUACAUAUAAAGUUCCAAUUCAAACAAUUCCCUUUAAGGUGUGCAGGGAUUCUCUUUAGAAACUUUCCAUAGCAGUUUGGCUGCAUUCUUUACCAAGGUGGGAAAUUAUGAGCCCAAGUGAGGAAGCUGCUCUCUCUUUGGCCCUUUCACAAACUACCUUUAGGAAUUUUCGAUUCAGAAGUUUCAAAAAUCUUGUAGACUGCGCUUCUUCUCUCGAUGGAUUGGGGCAUAUUUAAGUAGUGGUGUCAGGUUAAAUUGUUGGAAGCCAUGGAAACCUCAGGUUCUUAUUGCCAGGGCAGUGGCUAG